rnacentral:rRNA from 1 species
UACGUAGGGUGCAAGCGUUGUCCGGAAUUAUUGGGCGUAAAGCGCUCGUAGGCGGUCUGUUGCGUCGGCUGUGAAAACCCGGGGCUCAACUCCGGGCCUGCAGCCGAUACGGGCAGACUAGAGUUCGGCAGGGGAGACUGGAAUUCCUGGUGUAGCGGUGAAAUGCGCAGAUAUCAGGAGGAACACCGGUGGCGAAGGCGGGUCUCUGGGCCGAUACUGACGCUGAGGAGCGAAAGCGUGGGGAGCGAACAGG